AAAUGAAAUUGAAACUGUUGUUCUUGAGUGGAUCAGAGGCAAGCGGAAUUCCGAGUGUAGCGGUGAAAUGCGUAGAUAUUCGGAGGAACACCAGUGGCGAAGGCGGCUUGCUGGGGUCUAACUGACGCUGAGGCUCGAAAGUGUGGGGAGCAAACAGGAUUAGAUACCCUGGUAGUCCACACUGUAAACGAUGAUUACUAGGUGUGGGGGGUCUGACCCCCUCCUUGCCGGAGUUAACGCAAUAAGUAAUCCACCUGGGGAGUACGGCCGCAAGGUUGAAACUCAAAGGAAUUGACGGGGGCCCGCACAAGCAGUGGAUUAUGUGGUUUAAUUCGAAGCAACGCGAAGAACCUUACCAGGGCUUGACAUCCUACUAACGAAGCAUAGAUGCAUUAGGUGCCCUUCGGGGAAAGUAGAGACAGGUGGUGCAUGGUUGUCGUCAGCUCGUGUCGUGAGAUGUUGGAUUAAGUCCCGCAACGAGCGCAACACCUAUUGCUAGUUGCUACGCAAGAGCACUCUAGCGAGACUGCCGUUGACAAAACGGAGGAAGGUGGGGACGACGUCAAAUCAUCAUGCCCCUUAUGUCCUGGGCUACACACAUAUUACAAUGGCGAUUAACAAAGGGAAGCAAAAACCGCGAGGUGGGAGCAAUUCCGAAAAAUCCUCUCAGUUUCGGGAUUGCAGGCGCCACUUCC
rnacentral:rRNA from 1 species